UAUUGGGCAAUGGAGGGAACUCUGACCCAGCAACGCCGCGUGAAGGAUGAAGGUUUUCGGAUUGUAAACUUCUGUCGCGAGGGAUGAAGAAUGACGGUACCUCGUAAGAAAGCCCCGGCAAACUACGUGCCAGCAGCCGCGGUAAUACGUAGGGGGCGAGCGUUGUCCGGAAUGACUGGGCGUAAAGGGAGUGUAGGCGGCCUUUUAAGUUAUGUGUGGAAGCCCACGGCUCAACUGUGGAAUUGCACAUAAAACUGGGAGGCUGGAGUGCAGGAGAGGUAAGCGGAACUUCCAGUGUAGCGGUGGAAUGCGCAGAUAUUGGGAAGAACACCGGAGGCGAAGGCGGCUUACUGGACUGUAACUGACGCUGAGGCUCGAAAGCGUGGGGAGCAAACAGG
rnacentral:rRNA from 1 species